CUCGGGCAUCAUGCUACUAGCCAGGCUAUGUAGUACAGGUGUGUAGGAUGACAUACAUACCCUGGAGACAGGAUUCAUGUUCUUCUAAGAGUAGAACGUGCAGCAUGAAUCUGAUGAGAAAAGAGAAAGAGAAGGAUGAGGAGAAAGACUUUCACACAUGAAACCACAGUCUUCCGGGAUGACUGAAAACGGCAAAAUGAAAGAAACAAUCCAUUCUUCAGACAGUGUCAGACUAAGAGAUAAAACAUAUCCGGAUUCAGCUGUUGCCUCUUAAAGCUUCCUGUUCCUCUCACAAAAACUACUGGAAAAGUGCUCUUCCCUUUGCAGGACCUUCUACAAACAGACUUCAGUAAUUCCAACAGCACUAACAUACUGUUGGUCUCUGCUAAAAGCCCAGUGAGAAUCAAUGCUUUUUUAUUAAAAGGUUUGUUAUGGAUUAUUUUGUCCUUGUGUAUUUCACUGGUGAGGACCAGAGUACCUCACAGAGGAUCUGAACUGACUAUCUGAGCUCUGCCAAACAGAACAGCCCUGGUUUACCUGGUCUCCCACGACAACAGACUUGAUGGCAGCCAAAUAGAUCCAGAGGCAGCCGAGCGUGACAGCCGACAUCAAAGCGAGAAUGCCACACCUUGAUCCGGAUUUCACUCUACCUGCCGGGGCAAACUUAUUAACGUGACCACCCUGAGAAUUCAAAGGAGCAAACACACACAGCCACACAAAACUCAACCACUCAAAUUUGAAAAUGAAAAUAGAAGUCUAGACAGCUUUUCUUCAGGAUUCAUUGCUGCUGACCUAAUUAUUUGGAGCCUGUGCUUUAUCUUAUUCUUUUCAAAGAACAAGAAGAAUAGUUAAUUUCACUUAAUAGAAUAAUUGAAUGUCAUAAUUGCAGGGUUUCUUUUUUCUUUUUUUUUCUUUUUUUUUUUUUUUUUUUCCACUUCAGCAAUAAUGUAUUAGUUAAGCUGCUAACAAUCAGGCUGCUCACACAGUGAAUUAGUUACUUUUUUCUUUCUUCGCUGGACUAUUUGGACUAACCUAAAUUGAUAAUGAUUUUGUGUACAUGCAUGUGCUCUAAUGUUCACUGUUGUCUGUGAUGUCCUGAGCUGUAGAUGAGACCAACUUUUCAUUCAUGUUUUACCACAUGCAUGAACUACUCUACCACAAGUAGAGGUUUGAUAUAUAGAUAGAUGUAAUUGAGGUUUCUGUUUGCCUGAACAACUACUUUUGGAAAAAAAAUAAAAUUAAAUUAAAGGUGUGAUUGUAACAUUUUCCACGUUUAAGCAACACUGCAUAUAGGAAGAGUUCAAGUCCAGAUACUUUGAAAUUUGCAGAGCGUAAAUAGCAAAGCAUAAAUAUUUUUUAAAAAACUAAGUAUUAACUGGAAGCAGGUCUCAGCCAGGCAAAUUGUACAGGAUUUUGGGAUGGGUAAUACCAUUUAAAUGAAUCUGGUGAAUUUUUUCCUCAUAGAAAGAAUGGAUGACAUUUUGAUGAGUUCAGUGGUAAAGUGGCUGUGAAAAGAUCUGACUAAUACAAAGUGGAAGUUUCGUAAUAACUUUAAUGAGCUCCACAAUUUGUCACAUUCAUAGUGUCUUCCAUCUUGUAAAUCCCUAAGCACUUCACAACAAUAUAAAGAACCAGUGAAAAGCAGCUACCUCUAGGGCAGAAAGUGGUGACCAGCUGGCUCCUAGAAAAGUACAUAGCAGCAAAAUGAGAAGGAAAAAUCAUUUUGGCCAAGUAAAGUGGAUUAUAAAUUAAAAGUAAGUACUGUACUGACUGAAGGAAAUGCUUUGUCAAACACUGUGCCCCUUUUCAUUCCCAUUUAAAGAAAGCACUGUGAAUGAAGAGCAUGUUCUGGUUAUUAGAUGAUUUGUCUAUCUUAGACUUUCCCCAGCUGUGGUCUGGAGUACAUUUAAUAGCGGUUUGUGGAAACUUUCUGGUCAGAGUGGCAAGACAACUUCAGUUUUCAAAUGCUGUUUGUAGCUUCUUGUAGCCUCACCCAGGAUUAUUCUACUGCUCAAACUCCCACUUAAUAUUCCAGUGCAAUAUGGCAUUGAAAGGAGUAUGAGUGUUUAGAAAUGCUGGGGAUAUGGAGUGGUUUGAAAACUCAAUUUUUUGGUCAAGACCAAAUCUGGUACACUUCUGAAACUCGUAUACAUGUUCUGUGCAGCAGAGUGUGCAAAGAGAAAGGACAUUCAACAUUCAAAACGAAAAAACUACAUCACAUCCUGAUAUGUUAAGAACAAUACUACUAGAAGGUAUAGAUCCCAAAGUACCUUCUAACGCCGUAUUGAGUUUUAUUUGAACUUGAUCUAACACAAAACAAGGGGAAACAAAACAAAACAAAGAAAGGAGAAACAGUAAACAAGGAAGUUUAGAAUUUAUUAAUUUAUUAUUUUUACUGAAAUAACAUAUGUUCAUUUAAAGUUCCUUUCUCCAAUAUACAAUCCUUAACAAUACUUUUUCCACAAGGGAUUAUAAAUACCGUCUAUAAUAGGGACUGUGACAUUGAGAAAAAUAUAUCGGUCGUGAGAAAUUUCUUUUUUAAAGUGGUUCAACAGUGUAAAUGAGUUUAGAAUAAUGAUACUCUCUAUUAAAUAUCCUCUGGUCUAAAAUUUGGCCAAAGCUGAGCCACAACUGCGUGUUCUUAUGUAAAAUGUGCACUGUAAAAGCCCAUGGCUAAGAUAAGUCAAUAUAAGCUCCUACAAAGAAAGAUCUCAAAACACAGCCAGCAGAGAUUAGCCCAGAGCAGGAGGCUGAGUUCCUUCCAGUGUAUGUGCAUCCUUCUCCACUUCUUGCCUUGUCUCUAGGAAGAAUCAAAACUGUAUUGGAAUUAUUGUGAAAUGCACAUGUAUUCCAAUAUUGCUAAUUGCUAAUUUUGCAAAAUUUCAAGUGAACAGGUCACAGAUUUUUGCAUAGCCAGCUCCAAACACUUCGUACUCUGCUGGUUAUAGUAUGAACUUAGGAAAAUCAGUCCAUCUCUGCAGGAUAGAAAUUAGGAAGCUUCUGUGUACAUGAAAGAUAAAUGAGUUUGAAAUUCUGGUCUGUGCCCUGCAAUAACAUUAACAACCUCAUUCCAUUCUCCUAUCUACGAGAUAAAUGCUAUCAGUGGUGAAGUGUGAUAUCGAUUUGGACUUUUCUGGCCCAGUUUGGUCACAUGUCCACAUUUAUUUGCUUGCCAUUUUAUCUCUAUUGCAUGCUAAUUUUAAAUUAUGAUUUGCAGGAUGAUUAGCAUGCUUUUUCAGCUGUGUAUUCUUUCCAACUUCCAUUGCACACUUCAAACAUAGAUAAUAUGUAAAUACUUCCAUUCUGCGGUGCUUUCCACUGUGUGCUCUUUGGAUUUAGUUACUCUGUGAAGUAAAUAGUGGUGCUGGUUGAACUCUUCAUAACAAAUAAUUCAUCCAGAAGAUUCAUCUCCUCUGUAAACGUAACACAUACAAGCUCGUUGUGAUUUUCCCAAAUUAGUGCAUUAUUUGUAAUUGUCUGCUGAAUUAUUUUUUGUGAACAAACUGCACCCUAUGAAUUAUCUGUAAUUUGAACACUAUGAUUUUUGUCUAUAAGUUAUUUCUUGUGUGUGACUCUUCACCUGCUUCAUAUGGUUUUAUUUCUGGCCCCAGAAUGGAUAGGCUGACUUUGAGAAAUGGGAGCUUUAGGUGGGUUCCUAUCUUCAGAUUUUAGCGAGGAAAGGACUGAGUGCCUCUAGAUGCUCUAGAUGUGGGGAAAAAAAAAAAAAAAAAAAAAAAAAAAAAAAGAGAGAGAGAAGGAGAGAAAAUUUGUCCUCUCUUAUCCACAAAUAAAUUUUUCUUGAAAUAAACACAAAGAAUAAUUAAUGUGUUACAGUGCUUGGUAGUAUCUCAUAGUAUUGAUAUUAAGGCAUAUUAGAAUUAGAGUAGGUUUGUAAGGCCUCAUCUGGGAUAAUACCCAAUCAAUAAUGUUAGUUUUGCCAAGAACAAUAAAGAGGUUCAUGCUGAGCCACUGUGGUCACAUAGUUGAGUCUCCCUUUAUCACACAGACACAGAAUCUCACAGUGAAUUAGAAACUAAUGAAACUAAACAACACCUUUAAAAAUCCUACUUGAUUUUAAAAGUAGAGAUAAUUUACUCUGAAGUGGCAGGAGAGCAGAAGUAUGGAUAUAAGUUAUUUAACUGAGGUAACAGACUAGUUUGCUGGCCUUACUGCACAUGGGUCCCAGCUUCCAAGGUUCCUAAGCUGAUGCCAUGUCCAUAAGCCACCACCAUCCACAUUUAGUCACUGCAUGUUCUUUUAAGUCCAUAUGAAAAGCUGUGGGCCAGAUCUGACCCAUUUAGUAUUUGGUGUCUUUGGAACUAAAUUGCUAUUGUAUUCUCUAAAUCUGUAACAUAAUGACAGUCCAUACACUUCAAUAUAUCUGCCAAGCACAUGGGCUGAAUCUAUCAGCCUUUGUUUUAUGUACCCUCAUCAUUCACCCACUACUCCUCACAGUCACCAAUCAGGUGUACGUGUGGGGCCCUUUGCAGUGAAUGCAUUUGCCAGCGUACCUGCAGGAGAAAAUUUAACUUCUGAUCUAGUUUUUACAUCUGGCUGGGCUUUAUGUGAGCACCUGUGGUAAAGACUUCUUGGGCAAAUUAAUGUGUCUUCUAUUCUAUCUAAUCUGGCCAAACCAUAUAUUUUUUUCUUUUUUCUUUUGUUUCAGGAACUCCAUUUUGAAAGCUCCAAGGGUUUUUUGUUUUUUUUCUUUCUCAGGCGGCAUAAGGUAAAGAUGACUUUUGACAUUAUAAGUUCUUUCCCUUUCCUUGAACUGAGAUACACCCUAAGUGAAUGAAAAAACAGGUCAUAAUUAAAUGUAUUUGCACAAAUGCCUUACACACAAACAUGCACACAUACACACACAUAUAUACUUCACUCCAAUUAUAUCUGAACUGCAGCCACUCUGGGGCCAGAUUCACUUAGGGUGGGCACAUAUUUGCACCAGAUUUCAAACUAAAAGCAUGUCUAAUUCUGUGAAGUCACAGGCAUAUUCAUUUCCUGGUUUUAACACGCUCAUAUGGCAUGUAAAGUUUUGAAAGGUUAGGCCGAAAAGAUCAUAAGCCAUGUUGUUAGCAUGUGUGAGAUUUUGUAGCUGUUUGCAAAGUGCUGAGAUGCUCAGAUGGCAGGUGCUAUAUAAGUGCCAUGUAUUGUUAUUUUUAAUAUUAUCAUUCAAUUAUACAUUAAUCACUUGCAUGAAUGAAAGAUUUUACUGCAUAGUUCUGACUUCUGUCCCUGUGCUUUUGGAUAAUCUCUCAUAAAAAUUUGCAUGGCUGUCCAGAAUGUAGUUUGUUCUUCAUGUCACUGUUGGCACUGUUGAAAUGCACCACACACUGCCUCACUGUGCUCACAUCCACUUUUUGGUCUCCAGAAGCAUUCAGCAAGCAUCAGUGAAUGUCAAUGGGAGCCGUUUUUUCUG